AGUCUUAUAUUCUAAUAAUGAUAUAAAAUUGCAAAUUUUAAGGUGUAAAAACUUACUAAGGCUU
rnacentral:tRNA from 1 species